AGAGCGAUGCCCUCGAGGACGCGGUUAUGUGAAGACACGGACUGGAUGCUAUGCAGUGUUUCAUCAGAAGUUCACUUGGCCAGAAGCAGCGAUCUUUUGCUUCGUGGAGGGAGCACGUCUUGUUGAAAUUCGAAAUGGAAAAAAGAACAGAGAUGUGGUGGCAUUAGCAAAAAAGCGAAAACUAGCCGGCAAUAUAUGGAUAGCAGCCAAUGAUAUAAUUCAAGAAAAUGUCCUCCGGUUCAUUGGCACCAAUCGAGGUGUGCCUAGAUCUCUUAAGAAGGGGAUAGGCAACAAUAGAAGGAAGAACUGUGUCCAGCUCACCCCUGGCUCAAAGUGGAAGUCCGCUGACUGCAACCAGAAACGGGCUUUUAUAUG